GGCUGACAUGCGUAAUUAAUCAUCACGCUGGUUUAGAUGAGAACUGCUUCCCUUGUGGGGAGGGGGGUGACAAAGGAAAGGGGAGGAGGACAAACAGCCAGGAACAAGCAUUCAUUUAUUCAUUUAUUCAUUUAUUCAUUGGGGGAUGAAGGAAAAGGAGAGCAGUGAUUCUGUUCGUUAUGCUCACGGAGGUGCCUCAUGCCUGUAGCAGUGUGGUACACAGUAGGUGUUUAAUCAGUGCCUGGUACACAUUAGGCGUUUAAUCAGUGCAUGACUUCAGCUUAAAGCGACCUUGAUGCACAAUCCCUUCACCACCCAUUCCUCACCCCCGCCCUGCUGUGUGAUUUUCCCCACAGGCGAGGGAGAAGCUGCCAUCCCCCUGCAGGGAGUGUUUGGCGGAGAGUCAGCCACCCCCAGCACUCCUUCGGCCGUCAAAGUCAUCAGGAAAGAGCUUAUUCCCUGCUAUCCCUGUGGCCUCCAAGAUAAAACCCGGCCUCAGUUUCUGUGCAGAUAAGAACACUCUCCAUGUGCCGGAAGUCAGCUUCACCUUCCCCAGAGCCAUGUGGCAAAGCAGUACAAGCCCAAGCAGGGUGCCCCUCCUGCCCUGGGACAUCAGAGGUCAGUGUCUGUCUCCUCCCACCCCUGUGUGAUCCUGUAGCUCCCAUGCUGCUGGCUUCUGGGAUUCUCAAGCUCUUCUCAAUUCUCUCCAUGGGGAGGAGUUAGGGGAGGGAUAACAAUACACGUGCACAUCAGCUCCCCCACCACCAGGGCCUCCAUCUGUCAGGGGAGGGAUAACAGUACACAUGCACGUCAGCUCCCCACCACCAG
rnacentral:lncRNA from 1 species